GUGAAUCAUCAAAUUUUUGAACGCAUAUUGCACUCUCUGGUAAUCCGGAGAGUAUGCCUAUUUGAGGGUCAUUUGAAAUAAUAUAAAUUCCAAGAUUUCUCGGAAUUUAAAAUGGGUUGUCCAUUUUUUGUGGUCGCCUAAAAUCCAAGACAAGCUCAUUUUCUUGGGUUGCGUGAUACUUUCAGUUACCUCGUUACUUAACCAGGACUUAUUGUGUGUGUUAUGACAUAUUC
rnacentral:misc_RNA from 1 species